GCCCCGACUAGAGCGGGACUGCGGCGGGAUGGUGGAGCAGUUCCUUUUCAGAAACUUAAUAAAUCAUUUUAAGAGAGGAAAGGAAGAAAUAAAGAAGGAAGGAUAAGAAGGCACCGUAUAUGGAGAAAUUAUUAUUGUCACACCCCAAGCCUGCAGUGAGGUCAACUGCUGGAUCAAUAACAACUUUGCUCCAUCAGAUAAUGAAUCUAAAUGAGAAUUGCCACUGUUAAUCAGGAACUGACUCUAUUGUAUGGAAGAUGACACUUGAGCAAGGAGACUGUUGGACAGCCAGAGUCUGAGAGGAAAUACUCAGUUGUACAGGAACUGUAUGCUUAGAAUUUAAUAGAGCCUGGAUACACCUGGAAAGAUUGUCAGUCAUCACAGGAGGAAUCACCAGAAGACAAAGAAUAAAUGGUCACAGAGAGAGAAAGAAAGCCAGCAUAAUCCAGAAACCCCGGAGAAGAAGGAAACCAAGGGAGGAAGAAAGGAGAAACAGAGUCAAAUAUGAGACAAAGGGCAACGUCAAAAUCAGAAAAGGUUGUGCCUGGUGCUGGUUUAUCAUUUUGCUGCUGACACCCAGAACAUUGCAGAUGCUUCUGCUCAGGUGC